rnacentral:rRNA from 9 species
UGGCUAGACGAGGGCUUAACUGUCUCCUCCCCCCAGUCAAUGAAAUUGAUCUCCCCGUGCAGAAGCGGGGAUACACCCAUAAGACGAGAAGACCCUAUGGAGCUUUAGACACUAGACAGCCCACGUUACACCCCCUCCCCUAAGAAGGAAAAACACUGUGGCCCCUGCCUCCCCUGUCUUCGGUUGGGGCGACCGCGGAGGAUAAAAGAGCCUCCAUGUGGACCAAGGUUACUAACCUCAAAACUAAGGGCCACUGCCCUAAGCAACAGAAAAUCUGACCAGAAUGAUCCGGCGAAUGCCGAUUAACGGAACAAGUUACCCUAGGGAUAACAGCGCAAUCCUCUCCCAGAGUCCCUAUCGACGAGGGGGUUUACGACCUCGAUGUUGGAUCAGGACAUCCUAUUGGUGCAGCC